rnacentral:lncRNA from 1 species
AUAAAGCGGUCGCUUUAAUUCGGUUGUUUUCAUUCUGUUGUUUUUGUUCUUCAGAGCAGCAGUGUGACUUUCAGCGCGGAGACUCUCUACAGCUACAGCUUCACCUACAGACCAGUUUACUGCUUUAUUCUCACUGUUUAUUAUCUGUACUCUUUAUAAUUACUCAUUAAUAACUGUUUUAUCUCUAUUUUAUUCUUAUUAACUGUGUUUUUCGCUUUUCUCUUUUCUUUUUUUAAUAGGUUACAGCAGCCGGUGAGGGACACCGCCACCCCGCGGUCGAACAUGGUGUCUCCGAGCAGAGUCUGCCCCCUGGGGGUGCGUACUGACCGCUCGGGGAACUCCACCACCCGUCCCCCGGCUUUUGGCUGCCGAAAGGCUUGGGGGAAAUGCAGCAAACGCACGGUGCCCACCUCCCAUCCAGAGCCUGCAGCAAUCCCCAGCAGCCAACCCCCCACCGUCACGACCCCACCCUUCCCUCGGUACACACACUGUAACGUUCUGGUGCCGAUCGCUGUGGCAGAGCUUACCCAGAAGCUGGACUUUGUUGGACCAGAGCCUGAGCUCAUCCCAGGUCCAGCUGCACAGGCUUUGGCCGACCCUGACUGGGAGGUGGGGGACCACGGUCGGGUGGUCAGCGAUGAUGAAGAUGAAGUGGAGAUGUCGAAGGCGGAGUAAGACGUCUCUUCCAUUUCCACUUCGCCUUCUUCUUCGGAGGAGUCGGACGUCUACACUUCACCUUUUUCUUCUGUGAGUCUUUAUUAAACUGUUACACACCUACAUCAGACCCAGUAUAGCCUUUUUUUAAAUAUUAUGUGUAUAAUCUUCAUGUCUAAUGUAGGUUUUUCAUGUGUAGUUGAUUUUUAUA